UCCUUUUCUAAAAAAAAACAUCUUUGAGACCAAAGUUUUCUUCCUUGAUGAAAAUUAUUAGCAUAAUCCCCUAGGGC